rnacentral:rRNA from 1 species
GAUGAACGCUGGCGGCGUGCCUAAUACAUGCAAGUCGAGCGAACGGACGAGAAGCUUGCUUCUCUGAUGUUAGCGGCGGACGGGUGAGUAACACGUGGAUAACCUACCUAUAAGACUGGGAUAACUUCGGGAAACCGGAGCUAAUACCGGAUGAUAUUUUGAACCGCAUGGUUCAAAAGUGAAAGACGGUCUUGCUGUCACUUAUAGAUGGAUCCGCGCUGCAUUAGCUAGUUGGUAAGGUAACGGCUUACCAAGGCAACGAUGCAUAGCCGACCUGAGAGGGGGAUCGGCCACACUGGAACUGAGACACGGUCCAGACUCCUACGGGAGGCAGCAGUAGGGAAUCUUCCGCAAUGGGCGAAAGCCUGACGGAGCAACGCCGAGUGAGUGAUGAAGGUCUUCGGAUCGUAAAACUCUGUUAUUAGGGAAGAACAUAUGUGUAAGUAACUGUGCACAUCUUGACGGUACCUAAUCAGAAAGCCACGGCUAACUACGUG